rnacentral:rRNA from 1 species
GCAGCCGCGGUAAUACGUAGGUGGCAAGCGUUAUCCGGAUUUACUGGGUGUAAAGGGUGUGUAGGCGGGAUGGCAAGUCAGAUGUGAAAACUAUGGGCUCAACUCAUAGCUUGCAUUUGAAACUGUCGUUCUUGAGUGUCGGAGAGGUAGAUGGAAUUCCGUGUGUAGCGGUGAAAUGCGUAGAUAUACGGAGGAACACCAGUGGCGAAGGCGGUCUACUGGACGAUUACUGACGCUGAGACACGAAAGUGUGGGGAGCAAACAGGAUUAGAUACCCC